AGGCUUGGUUGUCUGACAGAGACAACUCCAUGAUUUCCCUCUGGAUUCAGCCACGGCAGAUCCACCUGCCUUACGUGACCACUUCUACAUCUACUGUACAUAGGCAACCCCCCUCUUUCAGGCUUCUCCCCAUCCUCUGCGUACAACAAUCAACGUCAACCUCCUGAUCCUCUCAUGCUGGGAUUACAAACUUGCGUAUACCCUCCAUUGAUUUAACCAGAAAUGUACUGCCAGUCAUGAGGUCGUCCGAAGCACAGAGGACGUGGUAGAAAGGACGAAGGGUUGCUAUUUAGAUGUCUGUGGCGGCAGCAUCCCAGUAGUGAAUACAUUUUUCUUCAUCCACUGGGGACGAAGGGGCUAAUGGAGCAUGAGAGUGGCAGUUCCCCCGGAGUUGUGUAGCUGAGUCACGCCCCCGUUUGGAGAGGAGCCGCGGGCUGCAGUUGUGUGUGACCAUGACCAUGAGGGCAUGCUGUGAGAGUCUGGGCCAAUUCAGGGGUAAACAUUGGAGGCAGUAAUUGGAGAACAACACAGCAGGGAAUUUCGUACAUUUGUGAUCCAUGUGGCUCAGUCAAGAAUAUCCUGACUGUGGACUCUUUGAGAUGAAAAGAGUGUGCAUGCUAAAGGUCUUCACACUGCCUGUGUGAAAUCUGAACUCCUACGUCACCUCAUCCAAAUAUGUUUUAUAGGUCAAAAUCUCACUCACUAAAUAAUCGCUCUCUGGCUCAGGAGAUUGGGAUGGAAACCCUGAGUAACAUUAAAAACAUGGGUUGUACUUUUGAAUACAGAUGGAUACAAAGCUUCUUUGCUGCUUACACCAAGCUGUUGCUGUCUAUUACUUGUUCUAUUUAGCAGAGCUCCAGUCAAUCUAUACUAUUAGUUAUCCAUUACAUGUGUUAAAGGAAGUCCUUCUUUAUCCAUCCAUCUGUCCUUCUCAGUUUGUGUUACUUCUUUGUCCUCGGUUUGUAAAGGCAGCAAUGUCCUCUAUGUAGUUCUUUAAAAUAAAACAGGACUCCCUACGAUA